UACGUAGGGGGCAAGCGUUGUCCGGAAUUAUUGGGCGUAAAGAGCGCGUAGGCGGUCCGAUAAGUCGGCUGUGAAAGUCAGGGGCUCAACCCUUGAAAGCCGGCCGAUACUGUCGGACUAGAGUCCGGAAGAGGCGAGUGGAAUUCCCGGUGUAGCGGUGAAAUGCGCAGAUAUCGGGAGGAACACCAAUGGCGAAGGCAGCUCGCUGGGACGGUACUGACGCUGAGGCGCGAAAGCUAGGGGAGCAAACAGG
rnacentral:rRNA from 1 species